rnacentral:RNase_P_RNA from 1 species
CGAGUAAGCCAGAUGGUCGCGUACUAUAUGUACGAGGAAAGUCCGAGCUCCAUAGGGCAAGGUGCCGGGUAAUACCCGGUGGAGGUGACUCCAAGGAAAGUGCAACAGAGAUAUACCGCCUGCCACUUAACUCGUUAUUAACGAAUUAAGCGGCAGGUAAGGGUGGAAAGGCGAGGUAAGAGCUCACCAGCAUCCAGGCGACUGGAAUGCUCUGUAAACCCCACCUGGAGCAAGGUAAAAUAGGAGGGAAUGAUAAGUGGCCCGCUUAACCCUCGGGUAAAACCGCUAGAGGUAUCAGGCAACUGAUAUCGUAGAUAGAUGACCAUCUAAAACAGAACUCGGCUUAUAGACUUGCUCGUAAU